rnacentral:rRNA from 1 species
GCGCAGGCGGUUUUGUAAGUCAGAUGUGAAAUCCCCGGGCUCAACUUGGGAACUGCGUUUGAAACUACAAGACUAGAAUAUGUCAGAGGGGGGUAGAAUUCCACGUGUAGCAGUGAAAUGCGUAGAGAUGUGGAGGAAUACCAAUGGCGAAGGCAGCCCCCUGGGAUAAUAUUGACGCUCAUGCACGAAAGCGUGGGGAGCAAACAGGAUUAGAUACCCUGGUAGUCCACGCCCUAAACGAUGUCUACUAGUUGUUGGUGGAGUAAAAUCCAUGAGUAACGCAGCUAACGCGUGAAGUAGACCGCCUGGGGAGUACGGUCGCAAGAUUAAAACUCAAAUGAAUUGACGGGGGCCCGCACAAGCGGUGGAUUAUGUGGAUUAAUUCGAUGCAACGCGAAAAACCUUACCUGGCCUUGACAUGUAACGAACUUUCCAGAGAUGGAUUGGUGCUCGAAAGAGAGCGUUAACACAGGUGCUGCAUGGCUGUCGUCAGCUCGUGUCGUGAGAUGUUGGGUUAAGUCCCGCAACGAGCGCAACCCUUGCCAUUAAUUGCCAUCAUUUAGUUGGGCACUUUAAUGGGACUGCCGGUGACAAACCGGAGGAAGGUGGGGAUGACGUCAAGUCCUCAUGGCCCUUAUGGCCAGGGCUUCACACGUAAUACAAUGGUCGGUACAGAGGGUCGCCAACCCGCGAGGGGGAGCCAAUCCCAGAAAGCCGAUCGUAGUCCGGAUUGUAGUCUGCAACUCGACUACAUGAAGUCGGAAUCGCUAGUAAUCGCGGAUCAGCAUGUCGCGGUGAAUACGUUCCCGGGCCUUGUACACACCGCCCGUCACACCAUGGGAGUGGGUUUUACCAGAAGUAGGUAGUCUAACCUUCGGGAGGACGCUUACCACGGUAGUAUUCAUGACUGGGGUUGAAGUCGUAA